UUCCAGAUUAUAUUUAAUGAAAGCAGAGGUCCACGAGGAUGCUAGGGUCGCCCCCUCCAUGUUUGAAUUAUAACGGCCACAAACCUUUUCCCACCAUUUCACCUUCCGUUCCUGUUCGUUUCACUGUAGACUCUGAGCUGCCAUAUAAGUUAGCCUUCCCUUAUGGUGACCUCACACCAUGCAUUCAGGCCUUUGGCUUGGGUGGGAAAGCAGCUAUAGAUUAGGUAGGUAAGACUUGAGAGUAUAACUUGGAGGUUUAGUAUUUACUUUGUUACUUAUUUGUUUGUUUGUUUAGGUAUUUUUAUUGAGUCAUUGGGGCGAGUCAAUGGUUCUACUUCUAUUCACAAUAUUUUAUUGAACCAAUAACUGUUUUCUUGUAUUGCUGGGAUUGCAAAUGGCUUGGAUCAGGAUGGACCUGGGCUGAGUAAUUUGUGGUCAUC
rnacentral:lncRNA from 1 species